AAGGGAGACCUAAUUCAGGUAUGGGACGAAAAAAAAGUAGUCGCUACCAAGAAUCAAUCCCAAAAGGUCGGAGCGAGGCGAAAUUGGCUUUCAAACUAGGUUCUGGGUUCACACAAGACCUGAAUCAGGAACAAGGGCUAUUAGCUCAGGUGGUUAGAGCGCACCCCUGAUAAGGGUGAGGUCCCUGGUUCGAGUCCAGGAUGGCCCACCUGCACAGGUGGCAAAAACAAGAGAAGCUCCGAAUCAGCACCUUAUCUUACUUAUAUAGUAAGAGAGAAUGCUGGCUCUGAGUUCAGAGUCCAGAGGAACCUUGAAAACUGCAUAGAGCUAGGUGAAAAAGCCAAAAAAGAAGACCGCAG
rnacentral:tRNA from 1 species